AUGCAAGUCGAGCGGUAAGGCCCUUCGGGGUACACGAGCGGCGAACGGGUGAGUAACACGUGGGUGAUCUGCCUUGCACUCUGGGAUAAGCCUGGGAAACUGGGUCUAAUACCGGAUAUGACCUGCCUCUGCAUGGGGGUUGGUGGAAAGAUUUAUCGGUGCGAGAUGGGCCCGCGGCCUAUCAGCUUGUUGGUGGGGUAAUGGCCUACCAAGGCGACGACGGGUAGCCGGCCUGAGAGGGCGACCGGCCACACUGGGACUGAGACACGGCCCAGACUCCUACGGGAGGCAGCAGUGGGGAAUAUUGCACAAUGGGCGGAAGCCUGAUGCAGCGACGCCGCGUGAGGGAUGACGGCCUUCGGGUUGUAAACCUCUUUCGACAGGGACGAAGCGCAAGUGACGGUACCUGUAGAAGAAGCACCGGCCAACUACGUGCCAGCAGCCGCGGUAAUACGUAGGGUGCGAGCGUUGUCCGGAAUUACUGGGCGUA
rnacentral:rRNA from 1 species